UCGGACGGGUGAGUAAUGUCUGGGAAACGUCUCGAUGGAGGGGGAUAACUACUGGAAACGGUAGCUAAUACCGCAUAACGUCGCAAGACCAAAGAGGGGGACCUUCGGGCCUCUUGCCAUCGGAUGUGCCCAGAUGGGAUUAGCUAGUAGGUGGGGUAAUGGCUCACCUAGGCGACGAUCCCUAGCUGGUCUGAGAGGAUGACCAGCCACACUGGAACUGAGACACGGUCCAG
rnacentral:rRNA from 1 species